UGGAGCUGGCGCUGGGACAGCAAGGGAGUGCUGGAGCAGCCGGGGCCUGCCCGGGCAUCUCUCUCUCCAUGUAGUCUCAGGGCUUCCCUAGGGGUCUCUCCAGGUAGGCUGGUUUGGGCUUUUCCAAAGCAUGGUGACCUCAAGGCGGUUGGACGGCUAACAUGGCAGCUUAGGGUUCCAGAGGUGAGGCCCCAAGGGAACAAGGUGUCACAUACCAUCUAUGAUAGUUGAUUUUCCGUGUCAAUUAGACUGGAUCAAGGCAUGUCCAGAUAUCUGGUUAAAUAUUAUCUCUGCAUGUGUCUGUGAGGGGUUUCCGGAAGAGAUUAGCUUUUGGUUCAGUAGACUGAGUAAAGUGGAUUGCCCUUCUCAGUGUGAGUGGGGAUCAUCCAAUCCAUCGAGGGCCUAGAUAGAAGAACAAGACAGAGGAAGGAUGAAUUUGCUUUCUGCCUGACCACUGCAGCUGAGACAGCGACCUUCUCCUGCCCUCCCUCGGUGCUCCUACUUCUCAGGCCUCAGGACCACACCGACAUCACCAGCCUUCCUGGGUCUCCAGUUUGCAGAUGGCAGAUGUGGGACUUCUCAGCCCCCAUAAUUGGACUGAAGUUUAUUCAGUGGAAAAUAAAAGAAGAAACCAGAAAACAUGACCACCAUUCAAACUACAGAUAGUGGACAAAUGGUGUUGUGUCAAGAAGGCUCUGGUGAAUAAAAUUUAUUAUCACGGCCUCUACUUGAUUUUUUGAGAACCCCUUAAAAUCAAGAAUUAUUCAGUGCACAUCAGGGCUUUGGUACAGUUCACACGUUUUUAGAGGGUAUUUUUCAUUACUGAGCCUUCAUCUUGUUUCCAGGGCAGCGCUGGGCUCUUGGUGAAUGCUGGUGCAAGACACGCUGCACAGGUACUGGAAAAGUCAAGUCCGUCUUGCUCUCUGCCCUCAAGGAACUUAGACUAACUUCUAGAGAGAUGAUUACGGCGCAGGUAGAAGGCGAGAGCUUACGAGGUCAUUAAUCACUUUAGUCCUUCAUCUCAUUCUUGCCUUUGUAAAAUGGAUGGUCUAAAUAUUUUCUUCAUCCUGUUCUAUCAGGCACUGUGACACUGGCCAGGCACUCAUGUGUGAUAGCACAGAAUUUAUAAACUUCUCACCAUUCAAGUUGCCUUUGUGUAAGAUAAGUUUUGGUAAAUGUUAUCAGCCUUCACCUGGUAAAUAUUUGAGUUAUCAGAAAACCUCUGAUAUCUUACUAUUAACUACAUGAUUCUACUUUUCCUGCAACCUUCAAAUGGGGACACCUUAUUCUACAGAAGUUACCUAAUUUAUGUGAAGACAGAGAUUCACAACGUCAAAGACAAGAUGAUUCAAAUAGAAACCAUUUACUUUAAAACUUCUAGCCUGUUGUGGUACCUAAGUCUCAUGUAAAUGGGAGUAUU